rnacentral:lncRNA from 1 species
GAUUGCACUGGUGCAAUCUCAGCUCACUGCACCCUCUGCUUCCUGGGUUCAAGCAAUUCUCCUGCCUCAGCCUCCAGAGUAGCUGGGAUUACAGGUGUGCACCACCACACCCGGCUAAUUUUUAUGUGCUAAGUGCUUAGAUGUACAUGUGGUAUAACUUAGCAUUCAUGACAUUAAUUUCUACAGUUUUCUGCCAGUGACUAUCUGUCACAUGUAGUAAGGCUGUGUCACCAUGCCCAGCUAAUUUUUGUAAUUUUUGUCUUUUUUGUAGAGACAGGGUUUCACCAUUUGCCCAGGCUGGUCUCGAACUCCUGGGUUCAAGCGAUCCACUCACCUUGGCCUCCCAAAGUGCUGGGAUUACAGGCGUGAGCCAUCACACUCCUUCGUUUUUUGCAUUGUUAUUCCUCACAAUUGUUUCUUUUUCUCUUGGUCUUUCUCAGUUUAGUGCACAGUAAACUUUUCCUCAAACUUUGCAAAAAGCAGGGCACCCACCAGGCUGCAUCUCCUCAUGGGGGCCGGGGUGGGGGUAAGUUUUUGCCCUUGUCCCUUGUCUUUUCUCCAUGUCUCAGGAGCAGCCACCUUCCAAGGGGCCUCCACUUGACCUCUCUGGCUUCUCCAGGUAUCCCCCAAACCUCUACAGCAAAAUGAGCUCAUCUCUGUGUUUUGAACUGGAAAAGAACAAUUAUUCCUUGCCUUCCUUAUUCUUCCUCUGACUCCAAACAACCAGAAGAAACCCAUACAAUUUUUAAAAAACAAAUAACAAUCUGCAUAAACAAGGUAUAACAGCAACUGAAAUGUCAACAUCUUAGAACUUUCAGUGCAUGAUCUGCCAGUCUGGGAAAUCCACAUGAUGUAAUACUAGGUCUAUGCUGCAAUUUCUACCCAGUGAAGAGCCGUUUGGGGUAGGCACAAAAUAAAAGUUGCCAUUUUAACAAAAAGUAAAGGGCUUGUAUGUAUAUGUAGAAGUCUGCAUAUGACACUUCGAAAUGUGGGUUAUAGUGGUGGUCAGUUUCAUUCUGCAGAGUAUGUGGAAAGAGAGUAAGAUUUCCUAUAACUCAGCAUUACAUGGAACUCUGCAGUAGCCAGAGACUAGCUAUAAAGAUGCUUUAUGUAGCAUCUGGUGUGUCUCUGCCAUUUGUGGAAAUGUUGAGAUACUCCCUUAUAGCUUGGUAGGUAGGUACUGUCCUGAGCCUGAACAUUUCCAUCAUUCUAACACUGUAGCCCCCUCCACAGGACCUUACUCUGAAUUCCCUGAAGACCCAGAAUCUAAAGAAAGUACAUCCAGAUUAACAAGGGGCACUCAGAAUAGGGCUUCAGCUCCAUGGCCUAUGUCCCAUUGUUGCCUGAGCUAUACUGAUUGUAAAAUAUAUUUGAAAGUUAUCCUGAAAAUAAUUAUUCCAAUGCAGUUGGCUUGACCAAACUACAUACAGAAGAUACAAAAGGGUUAGAAGAAAAAGAAGCAAAGUUAUUUCAGAUGAAACUGGGAUCAUUUCCCAAAGUAAUAGCUCUCACCAUUUCCCAUCCUUAAGGAAAGAUGAUGAGGUAAUUCCAGGGCCAGAUUGCAUAUUAUUUGGCGUCUUUUAAUAAUAAAUGAUACUACAGAUAUACACAGAUGUAGGUAAAAAUACACAUAUUUUUGAUAAGUGAAAUGUAAACAGAAUUUGUAUAAAUCAAAUUAUGUUUUUAAUGUAAGAGAAAGAGUCCUUUUCUAGCAAGUAUUUUGUCUUGCUUAUACUGUGAGCCUCAGCACCCAGGAGAGUGCCUGAAAUGCAGGUGCUCAAUAACUUUUUUAAAAGUUAAUUAAUGGAUGCAUGUUCUUGUGGAUCAACUAGGACUUUAAAAAACUUUCCUUCAAUGCUUUCAACCCUUGUAUUUGGGUAUAAUUUGCUCAGAUUGUGAGAAGCAGAGACUGUUGUUAUUAGGCUGCAGGCAUUGUGUCUGAUCUGAGCCUUCACUACUGACAUACUAGAAAGUGUUACCAUUUACCCAAUGUUCACAGCAACAUGCUGAGCAUCUUGGGCAGAAUGGUGAAUGCAAAGAUGACAUAGAGUGAAGUCUGACCUAAAGACCUAAAAUAGUUUAUAUUUAGAUGUUUUAUACUGAUUGAGGUGGUGAAGAGUGAACUAGUGGUAUAAUAGUAAUCAAAGAAAAUUACAGAAUUCCACAAUUUUCAACACAUCUGAGAUCUCACCCCUUUACUAGAACUUGGAUAUCAGAUUCUCUUCAGGAAUAAAGAGAUUCCUUUAAACCGCUUUGGGAUGAAGAAAAUCCAGUAAAUACAAAGCAAAAACUUCAGAAAGACAAUUUUUUGAUGAAUCUUUCUUUCAAACUACAGCUAUUAGUUAGGGAAAGAAACAAAUUCCAUGGAUACAUCCAGCCUGCCUCUUGUCCCAACCUUAUUUCCGACCUGUCACAAUCAAGUUAAGGAAAGUUUUAUUUUGCUAGUAACAAUGUGAUCUCCUUCACGGUCUCUAUUCCCCAAACAACGAUCCCUAAGAUUCCCAGAUCUAUGCUGACCUCCAGUGUCUCCUUGAGCUUCAAAAUUUUGCAAGGCCGUGAUUUCAAGCAUGCUUCCAAACAAAAUUUUGAUGGAUGGGAACUCUGAAGUCUUAAUAGAAUCUUUUCCUAAAUUAAACAAUACUUAUAAAUGCAAAGUAGUUAUCCUUAAAAUAAUUCAUUCUCCAAUUGAAAAAAAAAAACCUCACAUUGCAUUCUUAAAGUGAACCAUACCUCAAGAUGAGAAGAACUUGUUACAUGCUAUUCACACUUCUCCACUCUGUAUUCUGGCCCUGAAUUGGACAGUAGUGAAGAAGUGAUUUUUUUUCUCUUUCCUCAAAAAACCCAGUAACAUAUGCCACUGUCUGUUAUGAUUUUGCUAGCACCAUUGACUAACUACCUGAUCACCAGCUGUGACUUCCAUUAAGAAUCUCUUUUUGGAUGUAACUAGUGAGCAAGAGUCCAAAUGAAAUUACCUUUAUUUGCUGUUUCCUGCCCUCUAACCAAAUAUUCUGACCACAUGUUUGGCUUAGAAAGGAGAGGCUGUUGUUUCACUCCCUAAAAGCCAGUUUUUGCUAGAAUGAUAAGUGCUCCCAAGGCCCUGGGUGGCGGAACUGUUUGCCAGGUGUCACGUGCAUGGCCAUUAUUUCCUUUCCAGGGAUGUAAUGCAAUCUUAGCCUUUGAAUCAUGAAUCUUUUUUGAAACAACAUUUUCAAAUAUAAGGAAACAGAUGAAAGAGUACAUGUUAUUUCAGUAAAUGCUCUAUUUUUUUUCUUUUUCUCUCUUGCCAAAAACAAUAACCUUAUCUGGGAGUCCCAGACCAAAACUUUUACCCCAAAGGCCUCUGAGUUAGAAAAUAAAAAUCACAAUUUGGUUGCCGAUGUUUAAGGCUCUAAAGCUCUUUCCCAAGUAUCCAUGUCUAGGAUGCUGUCCUGUCUCUUGAGACUACAAUGCUGUCUUUAGCAAGGCUCUUUUCUUUCUGAGUCAGACCCCUGCUUUUUAGCCUUAAAGAUGCUCUCCUGAUAACCCUAGUCUCCAAGACUUAAUGGUGGUUCUUGGACUUAACCCAGAGGAAAUUGCCAUAUUUUCUCCUGGCUAGGGAAUUUCAUCUCCUUUCUCAGUUUCUUGAGUAGAGCUACCCAGGAUAGCUGGUGAACCCAUCUCCUGGAUUUUCUUUCCCCACUGCUCCCUCCUUUAAUAUUCUUUGCCACAUCAAUUGCCCUUGCAUUUAAUGACAACGGCUACCAUUUGUUGAGCUAUUUAAUCAGAGAAAAUUUAGCACUGAGGUUAAACGCAUGGUAUCUGGAGUCAGAUUAUCACAUUUUGAAGCCUGAGGAUGCUACACACAAACUGUGGGACUUUCAUUAUUUAACUUUUAUUUGCCUCAGUUUCCUCAUUCAUUAAAUGAGGCUAAUAACUUUACCUCCCUCACAGGACUGUGUGAGAAUAAUAUGUACAGUGUGUUUUUCCUGGUAGGUGGUAAACUCACAUUAAAUGCUAGCUCUGUUAUUGCUACCAUGUUUGGGUACAGUGGUAGUCAGCCUCUACAAACGGCCCCUGAUCCCUGCCUCCUAAUAUUCAUGCCCUUGUGUAAUCUCACUUUCCUGAAUGUCAGCAGGACCUAGUAACUCACUUCCAAUAAAGAGAACAUGGCUACUGCAAUGGGGUGCCUGACAAAAGACUAAUAUCCAGAAUCUACAAGGAACUCAAGCAAAUCAGCAAGAAAAAACAAAUGAUCUCAUCAAAAAGUGGCCUAAGGACAUAAAUAGACAAUUCUAAAAAGAAGAUAUACAAAUGACUGACAAACAUAUGAAAAAAUGUUCAACAUCACUAAUUAUCAGGGAAACGCAAAUCAAAAUCACAAUAUGAUAUCAACUUACUCCUGCAAGAAUGGCCAUAAUCAAAAAAUAAAACAAUAAUAGAUGUUGGUGUGGACGUGGUGGAAAGGGAACACUUUUACUCUGCUGAUGGGAAUGUAAACUAGUACAGCCACUAUGAUAAACAGUGUGGAGAUUCCUUAAAGACCUAAAAGUAGAUCUACCAUUUGAUCCAGCAAUCCCACUAUUGGGUAUCUACCCAGAGAACAGUAGUCAUUAUACAAAAAAGACACCUGCACAUGCAUAUUUAUAGCAGCACAAUUUGCAAUAGCAAAAAUAUGGAACCAGCCCAAAUGCCCACCAAUCAACAAGCGGAUAAAAAAAUGUGGUAUAUAUACACCAUGGAAUACUACCCAGCCAUAAAAAGGAAUGAAAUAAUAGCACUUGCAGCAACCUGGAUGGAAUUGGAGACCAUUACUCCAAGUGAAGUAACUCAGGAAUGGAAAACCA